CGAUUAAAGCCCCUUCGGGGGUGUAUAAAGUGGCGAAAGGGCGAGGAAUACGUUCCUACGUACCCCAAGGUCGAGGAUAGCCCAGGGAAACCUGGAGUAAUACUCGAUGUGGUCUACGGAUCAAAGGCUUCGGUCGCCUUGGGAGCGGGGAACGUCCUAUCAGGUUGUUGGUGAGGUAACGGCUCACCAAGCCGAAGACGGGUAGCGGGUGUGAGAGCAUGACCCGCCGCAUCGGGACUGAGACACUGCCCGGACUCCUACGGGAGGCUGCAGCAACGAAUCUUCCGCAAUGCGCGAAAGCGUGACGGAGCAAUGCCGCGUGCAGGAUGAAGCCUUUCGGGGUGUAAACUGCUGUCAGGGUUUAGCAACACAAUGAGCAGACCCAAAGGAAGGGCCGGCUAACUUCGUGCCAGCAGCCGCGGUAAUACGAAGGGCCCGAGCGUUGCGCGGAAUUACUGGGCUUAAAGCGUACGUAGGCGGACAAGAAGGCACCUUGUGUAAUCCCUCGGCUCAACCGAGGAACUGCUUGGUGAACCGCUUGUCUUGAGGCAAGUAGGGGCUGUCGGAACGAUAGGUGGAGCGGUGAAAUGCGUUGAUAUCUAUCGGAACGCCAAAGGCGAAGGCAGGCAGCUGGGCUUGUUCUGACGCUCAUGUACGAAAGCGUGGGGAGCGAACGGGAUUAGAUACCCCGGUAGUCCACGCCGUAAACGAUGUGCACUAGAUCGAGGGGGUUCUGACGCCAUUC
rnacentral:rRNA from 1 species